AUUGAACGCUGGCGGCAGGCUUAACACAUGCAAGUCGAGCGAGCGGCAGACGGGUGAGUAAUGUCUGGGAAACUGCCUGAUGGAGGGGGAUGACUACUGGAAACGGUAGCUAAUACCGAAUCCACUCAGAUGUGCCCAGAUGGGAGUAGCUAGUAGGAGGGGUAAAGGCUCACCUGGGCGACGAUCCCUAGCUGGUCUGAGAGGAUGACCAGCCACACUGUAACUGAGACACGGGCCAGCCUCCUACGGGAGGCAGCAGUGGGGAAUAUUGCACAAUGGGCGCAAGCCUGAUGCAGCCAGGCCGCGUGUGUGAAGAAGGCCUUCGGGUUGUACAGCACUUUCAGCGAGGAGGCGUUACUCGCAGAAGAAGCACCGGCUAACUCCGUGCCAGCCGCCGCGGUAAUAC
rnacentral:rRNA from 1 species